rnacentral:lncRNA from 1 species
CGAAGCAAAAGUUAUGUAGACUGAAGGAUUUAAUUGUGGUAAUUUAUCACAUUACAUGGUACAUCACAUUCACCUACUCUAUCAGCUACAUCAAGCUUGUCAAAAGAAAACAAUGCAACGUGCAUACAACAGCCCCUCCCUCCUUUUUCCUGUGCAAAAGCCACGAAUUCAGAUCAAGCCAUGCUCCCUCUGCUGCCAACUUUCAGCCAAGCCAUACUCUUGGUACAUGUAGGGGGUCAAUCAGCCACCCUACGUUGCCCAUCCCUUCAAAAUACUCAAGUGUAGCCAACAACCAUUUUCCAUUAUAUCUCCAGCUAGCAAAUUCGUAUCUUUUUCUUUCUUAAUGCAUCUUCACUAAGAGAGGAUUUUGAUUCAGCUUCUAGCAGACUUAGAGAGGUAAGAGUGGCUAACUCCUUCACCAUUUCUUUCUUGAGUUCAGUCUGAAAUUGCUAAACAAAACAUAGCACAACAGAGAGCCAAAAGAACAAACAUUCAAGGUAUUUACUAUAUCAGUAUGUUCUCUCCCACGUUACAUGCUUCACACGCAUCAAAUCCACGCUUCAGUAUAUAUGUAUAAAUACGGAGUAAUUAGAGGAAUGCACAAUCUUUUAUUUCGAGACUGACGCUAUGUGAAUUUCCAUAUGACAAAGUAGCAAUAUGAACCAAAACCACACCACCUAGUCUAAAUUCUUGCUUCAUCGAAUUGAAUAAUAGAAUAUCAAGGCUUUGAGAGAUUUAUGAACACUAGGGUAUCAAAACUAGAAGAAAGACCCUAGCUUGCUUAAUUGAGAUGUAGUACCUGAGUUGGAGAGAAUGUCGGAACGGUGGCUGCCCUGUUUUGACGAGGCGGAGUGGCCGUCGGCGACAGUGAGGCUUCCAGAGAGGCGUACACAACAGAGGAGCAGGCGACGAUUCAUGGAGACUUGAGAGCCGACAUCGACUUCCGAAGGCGUGCAGCGGCGCUUGGUAACGACAGCCCACAUGGGCCUAUUACUCAUCGGGAAUCAGGGAGAAUCCGUUGGAACCCCGUGACGGUGGCAACUCAGGGAGCCGGAGCCGGUAGCACGGCGGACGGACUCUAAGAGAGGCAGCAACGGUUCCGCCUGAAUCAGCAGAGAGCUAGGGCUCGUUCCGAAAGGGGGAAACUCGCCUGUGCAUUUCGGUGAGAGAGUAAGAGGUAGAGUGAGCGACGAUCCUUCUGAGAAGAGAGCAGACGACACGAGCCGGCCACUGCUCGCCGGAAAUCGAAAGCAGCAGCGAUGAUUUUGAUGAGAGCGUUAGGGCUCAUUUCGAAAGGGGAAACCAGGGCACGAUAUGUGAAAGGAAUUGGAAUUGAGAGAAAAGAGAGAAAGAAGAGCAGAUGUGGCGGGGAAGCAGCGCCGAUGACCGGCGUGACGGCGACCUCGCCGGUCUUCCAGAUGCGGCGGCUUUCUCAAAGGGGGAGAGAGGAAUUGAAAGAAAGAGUGUGGAGAAUGAAGGCU